rnacentral:rRNA from 1 species
GAAGGUAGCAUAAUUAAUUGCCUUUUAAAUGGGGGCUUGUUUGAAUGGUUUGACGUGAUAGAUUUGAAUAUUUAGUAUUUUUUUGAAAUUGAUUAUGGGGGUUCAGAAUCCCCAUUAUUUAAUUAGACGGAAAGACCCUGGGAUCUUUUGUUUUUGUUUGGGGAAAAUUUUAUUGUUUUAUUAAUAUUAGGACCCUUUAAAUAGUAUAUUGAGUUAAGUUACCCCAGGGAUAACAGUGUAAUAAUUAAUAAGAGAUCUUAUCGAAUUAAUUGAUUGCCACCUCGAUGUUGACUUAGGUUAUAUAUUUAAGUGCAGUAGCUUAUAUAUUAGGUCUGUUCGACCUUUAUACCUUCAUGAGUUGAGUUAAGACCGGUGUGAGC